ensembl:lncRNA novel transcript, antisense to PHIP
AUCUGACGCACACGGAGCCGCAGCACAGGCUCUAUUCAGCGGCGCUGGCUGGAGCUGAGAUGGAAGUUAGUUUCUAUGUAGCAGAAAUAUGAAACAAAUGAAGCAAAACUGCCCAGAGAGGGGAAAUGCCCCAAGGAUGGGUCUCACUCACGCGCGUACACAGACACACACGCAGAGAGCACUCUCACGCUGGGCAAGCUCGGGAUCGCGCUACCCUUCCCGAGUUGAAUGAUAGUGUUUGGUUUCUGUCUCUUGCCAUGUGCAUGUGUAUAAAUGCUGCGGAUUGGCAUCUGUUUAAUCACGGGAAGACUUCUUGAAAACUGACGAAAAGGAGAAAAAAAAAUCUUUCGUAAAUUAGUAUGUAAUUACCGAUUUUAUAUGCUAAAUCAUACAUCUGUGUUUUGCUGAUGAGGAUAAGGGCCUUGUUUUUAAAAAAACGAAUAUGGGUGAAAUUAAUGGAAACAAUAGAAAAAGCCAUUUGUUAGAAAACAAGGACACCAAAUGAUAUUUAUCUCCAGAUGAUUUAAGCACUUUCCAAAAAGACUUGAGAGUUCAAUAUUUUUUAAGGAUUGCAUUUUAAAGGGAAUUUGGAUAGUCGUUCUUUUGUUAACAUUUAACAAAAGAUUCUCCUUAAAAAUGUUAGAUAAUAAACUGCAUUUUAUGGGUCUGGUUUAAAAAGGUUAUUUGUGGGGAAAGGACCAACAAGCUGUAUUGUGGUUUUCUAGAUUGUUUCCUCAAGCCUUGUAACCUCCUAGCUCCUUACAUUCCUAGUGGGAAAUACUUGCUGCAAAUGCCUUGGGCUGCACUGUAAGCCCAAGUGUGCUGCACCAGUGUGAUGCCCUAUACUAAAACAUCCAGAAAUCAUCAUACAUAUGAGGAAGAAGAAAUAAAGCCUCAAACCCUUUGGAAUAAUAGGAUAUAAAAUUGCCUUUUGUAACUGAAUCUUAAAAAUGGAAGGUUACCAUGACUUGUCCUAUUGCAACCUGGUUAUCAGAAUAACUUAUUUUUUUUAAGAUAGCUAUUCUCAAAUACUGAACAUAUUUGCAUCUUUAAAGACACUUUAUUCUAUUCAAUUAUAGGUAAAGUAGCCUAUUUCUAGGUGGUUAGGCUUGAAAAGAUAGACUGAAAAGAUAGGAAAUUUUGUAUGCCUUUUUGCAAAUUGUAUUUACUUCUAAGACCGAUGCUGUUUUAGCUUAACUUUUAAAAAAGUGUUCUUCAAAUAAUUGUAAUAUUUUACACGAUCUUGAAGUUCUUCAAAUAAACAGAGUUUAGAAACUAAAAAUUAUAGUGGGAUUUUCUGGUUUUGAAGGCUUGGAAUGUAUGAUUCUUACUAAUAGAUGUUUUAUUCUUGUGAUUGAAAAUAAACCAAAUUAUGACAUGGAAUAUAAUAUUACUCUGGGUAAAGUUUGUGAUAUAUAUCUUCUGUGUGUUUUGUAAACAUAGAAAACUAGCAUGAUUAUCUCAUAUAUUCUUUUCAUUUAGAAGCCACAAAAGCUUUCACCUAAAUAUGCUACUAGUACUUAGCUCCUUAAAAAUUUUUUGGAAAAUCCCCCUCUAAGUUUUCUAAACAUGAUGUUCCUGUCAUUUUGAUUGAUUUUUGACAGUGUUUAUAUUUCUUUUUCAAAUGUCCAAUAUGCAGAUUGUUGUAACCUUCCCUUUGAACUAUUGUCUGUUAUAAGAAAAUAUACAUUACCUGCUAAAAAUUAAAACUUCCCUUCAGCCAAAUAAACUAUUUGUAUUUAACAGUGGAUAUUGAAUUGAAUUUUACUAAGUCCUUUAAAUGUAACAAAUACUCCAAAUAGCCCUUUUAAUUUUCUUAAACAUAAAAAACAUUUGUGAAUUAUAGCAUUGACAGUUAACUGUAAGAUUUAUUAAGUUGUUUAUUGUACUUGUUUAUGUACAAAGUCUGUAAAUAUCAAAUAGAAAGAAAAGUCUUAUUUGGAAGUUCUAGAUUUUAGUUCCCAAAGCAAUGAUCCUUGCAAUUUUUUGUUCAGCCAACUCUUUUGCAUAUAAGGAUAGUUCAGAUUCCAUCUAUAUCCUUUCCUGUUUGUUUAUUUUAACAUUUUUAUGGGUUUCCAAAAAUAAAAUAUCACUUUAAAAAGAUCUCCAUGCAGUUUAAAUAACAAGGUUAACAAAUAAUAGUAAAAGUUUGGAAAGCCAAGACCUAACGUUUUUACAUAAUAUAGUCUCUCUAGGAGAUAUAGAAACUUUUCUUGAAAUAUAAAAGUU